rnacentral:rRNA from 1 species
GAUGAACGCUGGCGGCGUGCCUAAUACAUGCAAGUCGAGCGAACAGACGAGGAGCUUGCUCCUCUGACGUUAGCGGCGGACGGGUGAGUAACACGUGGAUAACCUACCUAUAAGACUGGGAUAACUUCGGGAAACCGGAGCUAAUACCGGAUAAUAUAUUGAACCGCAUGGUUCAAUAGUGAAAGACGGUUUUGCUGUCACUUAUAGAUGGAUCCGCGCCGCAUUAGCUAGUUGGUAAGGUAACGGCUUACCAAGGCAACGAUGCGUAGCCGACCUGAGAGGGUGAUAGGCGACACUGGAACGGAGACACGGUCCAGACUCCUACGGGAGGCAGCAGUAGGGAAUCUUCCGCAAUGGGCGAAAGCCUGACGGAGCAACGCCGCGUGAGUGAUGAAGGUCUUCGGAUCGUAAAACUCUGUUAUUAGGGAAGAACAAAUGUGUAAGUAACUAUGCACGUCUUGACGGUACCUAAUCAGAAAGCCACGGCUAACUACGUG